ACCAUUGGAUUUUGAAACGGCAACGUUUUCCGCAAUCAACGUUUCAUCAAUCUGCUUAACGUUCAUCCGCGGUUGGUGAAACGGCUCCACUGUGUCGAACGCAAGCGUCUGGUCUUUGAAUUUAACGAAUAUCUCGACGGAACUGUAGUAAACCGAGAUUCUGUGGUUAGGGUUGUGCGAUUGGAUGGUGAAUUGGAAUGUAGCUGACAUGUGAUUGUCGUUGGUAAGGUUAAAGUUUUGAACCGAGGCGUUUUCAACAGUGUAACGAAGUUUCUUGGGUUUGGUUUCAAGCCAUGUAAUGAGAAAACCUACAGCUGCCAUGAAGAUUAGAGUUAGUAUAACGAGAAAAAUGUAGCAUAUAAGGCUAGGGCGGCGCAAUGGCUGCGCUGGCGAAGUUUCCAUCGGCAUCAAUUCUAGCUUGGGCUUGUGACACAUUGGUUUAUAUGUAUGUUAAUGUUUGUAUAUAUAGAGUAUAUACUUGUGAUGCAAGAUACUUGGAAAGUGCCUUGUAUUCUGAUGUUCUUUUCUUCAGCUGUAGAGCGAUCAGAGAUAUAUGAGUUAUUUGUUAUUGUCCCUUUAGAACAUUUUUGUCCCAUAUACUUUGCUUUCCCAUCGACUUUGCUUCUAGCAAUUGUAAGACAACACUCAAACUGGCAAGUGGGAGUGUGGGACAUGACCCUAUAUAAUAUUUUUAUGUUUAAAAGCUUAUUUUCAAGAAGACAGAUCAUUUUAGGCCUCACACCAAAGCUUAUUCUUAGUGUCAUUAAUUAAAAUUAACUUGUUACAAUAGGAACAAAUAUCACCUGCGAAGAUCUCGUCUAUUUGAUCAUUCUUGUUCUUAUUGUCAUUAGUAUGCACAUAAAAAUUGUAGCACCUUAACAUUUGUUUAUAAACUAGGUUUUAACUCGUGGUAUACAGUGAUCGAUUUUUAUAAUCAAAAAAUUUAAAUUUUAAGUUGUAUAUGUUUUAUUAAUAUUGUUUAUUUUGUUUAGUAUUUAGUAUUGUAUAAUUGUAUUUUGAUUGUAAGUUCCAAGAAAUUUCACUUGUAAUAUAUCGUCUCAUAUUAAUAUCUAUCCAAAUCCGUCACACUAUAUAUCCCCGUCCAACAAUAUUAAACAUCAUUUUGUUAUUCUUCUUUUAACUUAUAUUUCUAUUUAAAAGACAUCUGAUUCAACUCAAUUUAAAGUUUUUUUAAAAUGGUUCACAUAAUAUAUAUAUUUUUAAUUGUUAUAGAUCUCAGAAAUUAUUAAUAUUAUCAACUUUUUAUAGAAUUUAUAUAUUAAAAC
rnacentral:sRNA from 1 species